UUUCACCACGAGGAAACCCAGGCUGCCCUAAACCAACUGGCCGAGGAUGGCAGAGCCAGCAGCUGGCAGGGCUGGCCUGGAACCCAGGUGCACAUGGCUCUGAAGCCAUGCUCUUCCCCACUUUCCCCAUGGCACACAAACGGAUUCCUAACAGGAGCUGUCCUGCUGGCAGCCAGUCAUAAAACAAGGAAGUGCUUAAUGAAUAAUGGGAACAUGUCAGUAGGACACAGAGCCAGCUUGAAGGAGCCUUCGGUGGUCAGAAUCAGGGACAAUUUGAGCACCAACAUAGUGACAGUAACAGAUGGGAAACCACCAGUGCACACAGAUAUAAAGAGAAAAAGAGCAACUUCAUGGUGAAGAAGGCUGGCAGACAUCACCUCAUCCGUGACCAAAGUAAACAUCAACAGGGCCAAUAAAAAGCUUGCAGCACCUGGGGGGCUGCAGUGAGAAUGUGCCAUCACUCCAUAGGACUCAGGCCAGAGAGACAUCAGACAAUCCCAAAUGGAGGAGCAUUCUGCAAAAUGACUGCCAGUAAUUUUCAAAGCUCCUGGCUGAGGAAGUGUUUCAGGCUGAAGGAGACUGAAGACACAGAACUAAAUGCAAUAUGUGAUUCUGGACUGGACCCUCCAUUCUCAAGGAUGCAAUUGGGACAACCAGAGAAAUCUGAUGGGGUCUGAGGAGCACAUGGCAGUGAUGUGUUGUCACAUGCUGCAUCAUGACAGUUCAGUCAACAACAGGCCACAUAUAUGAUAUGCUUCCAAAAGAUUAUAAUGGGGCAGAAAAAUUCCUAACACCUAGUGAUGUCAUAAAGGGUUGUAAAGUCA